rnacentral:rRNA from 1 species
UGCAUUUGCAACCUGAGCUCAGACGUGAUUACCCGCUGAACUUAAUCAUAUCAUUUAGCGGAGGAAAAGAAACUAACUAGGAUUCCCUUAGUAACCCCCAGUGAAAAC